CUGAGGAGCGAGAGCUAGGGGAGCGAACAGGAUUAGAUACCCUGGUAGUCCUAGCCGUAAACGAUGACCACUAGGCGUGGGAGGUAUCGACCCCUUCCGUGCCGUCGGUAACCCGCUAAGUGGUCCGCCUGGGGAGUACGGUCGCAAGAUUAAAACUCAAAGGAAUUGACGGGGACCCGCACAAGCAGCGGAGCGUGUGGUUUAAUUCGAAGCAACGCGAAGCACCUUACCAGGGCUUGACAUGCUCGUGAUCGCACGGGAAACCGUGUUCUCUUCGGGGCAGGAUCACAGGUGGUGCAUGGCUGUCGUCAGCUCGUGUCGUGAGAUGUUGGGUUAAGUCCCGCAACGAGCGCAACCCCCGUCGCAUGUUGCCAGCAUUUAGUUGGGGACUCAUGCGAGACUGCCGGUGACAAACCGGAGGAAGGUGGGGAUGACGUCAAGUCAUCAUGCCCCUUAUGUCCAGGGCUACACACGUGCUACAUUGGCGCGUACAGAGGGCUGCGAUACCGCGAGGUGGAGCGAUCCCUCAAAGCGCGUCUCGGUUCGG
rnacentral:rRNA from 1 species